CCAAAGUUCUCUCUGACUUCACAUCGAAGGGUCCAGCCAAAGCCACUUCAACAAGCUUUUUUCUUUUUGGUGUACAAGACAAUAGACACAUCAUCAACUGUUGGAGCUUGGAUUGCAUUAGAACCCUCUAAUCGUCAAUUGGAUUUUGGACUUGUUGCUGCAAGUCUCCAGGUUGGUGUGGUUGUGGUUGGUCUCCUACCGAUGUAGUACUAGGCAAUUGGUU
rnacentral:lncRNA from 1 species